rnacentral:rRNA from 1 species
UACGAAGGGGGCUAGCGUUGCUCGGAAUGACUGGGCGUAAAGGGCGCGUAGGCGGUUUGUACAGUCAGGUGUGAAAUGCCCGGGCUCAACCUGGGGGCGGCACUUGAUACGUAUGGACUGGAGUGGGGAAGAGGGUCGUGGAAUUCCCAGUGUAGAGGUGAAAUUCGUAGAUAUUGGGAAGAACACCGGUGGCGAAGGCGGCGACCUGGUCCUUUUACUGACGCUGAGGCGCGAAAGCUAGGGGAGCAAACGGG